UACGUAGGGUGCAAGCGUUAAUCGGAAUUACUGGGCGUAAAGCGUGCGCAGGCGGUUCUAUAAGACAGAUGUGAAAUCCCCGGGCUCAACCUGGGAACUGCAUUUGUGACUGUAGAGCUGGAGUGCGGCAGAGGGGGAUGGAAUUCCGCGUGUAGCAGUGAAAUGCGUAGAUAUGCGGAGGAACACCGAUGGCGAAGGCAAUCCCCUGGGCCUGCACUGACGCUGAGGAGCGAAAGCCAGGGGAGCAAACGGG
rnacentral:rRNA from 1 species